rnacentral:lncRNA from 1 species
GGAGGAAGAGGUUGGGACAGCGGAUGGGGUUGGGACUGUGGAGGAAGAGGUUGGGACAGCGUAUGGGGUGUGGACUGUGGAGGAAGAGGUUGGGACAGCGGAUGGGGUGUGGACUGUGGAGGAAGAGGUUGGGACAGCGGAUGGGGUGUGGACUGUGGAGGAAGAGGUUGGGACAGCGGAUGGGGUUGGGACUGUGGAGGAAGAGGUUGGGACAGCGGAUGGGGUUGGGACUGUGGAGGAAGAGGUUGGGACAGCGUAUGGGGUGUGGACUGUGGAGGAAGAGGUUGGGACAGCGGAUGGGGUUGGGACUGUGGAGGAAGAGGUUGGGACAGCGGAUGGGGUUGGGACUGUGGAGGAAGAGGUUGGGACAGCGGAUGGGGUUGGGACUGUGGAGGAAGAGGUUGGGACAGCGGAUGGGGUUGGGACUGUGGAGGAAGAGGUUGGGACAGCGGAUGGGGUUGGGACUGUGGAGGAAGAGGUUGGGACAGCAUAUGGGGUGUGGACUGUGGAGGAAGAGGUUGGGACAGCGGAUGGGGUUGGGACUGUGGAGGAAGAGGUUGGGACAGCGGAUGGGGUGUGGACUGUGGAGGAAGAGGUUGGGACAGCGUAUGGGGUGUGGACUGGGGAGGAAGAGGUUGGGACAGCGGAUGGGGUGUGGACUGGGGAGGAAGAGGUUGGGACAGCGGAUGGGGUGUGGACUGUGGAGGAAGAGGUUGGGACAGCGGAUGGGGUUGGGACUGGGGAGGAAGAGGUUGGGACAGCGUAUGGGGUGUGGACUGGGGAGGAAGAGGUUGGGACAGCGGAUGGGGUUGGGACUGGGGAGGAAGAGGUUGGGACAGCGUAUGGGGUGUGGACUGUGGAGGAAGAGGUUGGGACAGCGGAUGGGGUUGGGACUGUGGAGGAAGAGGUUGGGACAGCGGAUGGGGUUGGGACUGUGGAGGAAGAGGUUGGGACAGCGGAUGGGGUGUGGACUGGGGAGGAAGAGGUUGGGACAGCGGAUGGGGUUGGGACUGUGGAGGAAGAGGUUGGGACAGCGGAUGGGGUGUGGACUGUGGAGGAAGAGGUUGGGACAGCGUAUGGGGUGUGGACUGGGGAGGAAGAGGUUGGGACAGCGGAUGGGGUGUGGACUGUGGAGGAAGAGGUUGGGACAGCGGAUGGGGUGUGGACUGUGGAGGAAGAGGUUGG